CGCUGCAUUUUUGGAAAUAAGUUAUCAUGCACGUCUUAAGCUCAUGUAAAGUAUGCAGGCAAGUCAAUUGUUAUAUAUUCACUUCUAUUUGUUAACAGCUUAUUAUGGCUUGUUAAUGUGUACAUGGGAAUACCAAGUAAGUUGAUGUAUUGUAUUAUAUUUGAAUAACUGUAUGCUAUGUUUACGAGCUUUUGAUUGUUACAUGUAAAUGAAAAGACGAUGCAUUAUACUUAAAGUGGUAAUUUUUAAAUUUUCCGAGUAUUCGAAUAUUUGAGCGCCACAAAAAACUACAAUCCUCAGCACAUGUAUUAUAAAAACUGAAUUUCAAUUUACCUUUGGCAAAAGCUUCUGAUAAUUUAAAAAACAUUUAUGAUUGCACUGAGUUCAACUAUUUCCUAAAUUGGCAUGUAAUUUCGUCUCCAAGGACAAGAGAUCUAUCAAUAUCAUUUUGUUACUUU
rnacentral:lncRNA from 1 species